ACGUUUCGUUUGUUGCAAUUAUUUCAAAUAGAGUGAAAUUUUCAUUUGAAAACUUUUUAAUAUUGCGAAUGUUGGUUUUCUUUUGAUCUCCUUAGGAAGCUUUUGGCUGAGAUUAGACUCGAAAUAUCCAACGGUAAUUUGGUUUUCAGCUGCUUGAAAAAAAGUACUAUACUGACGUGUUUGAUUAAGGGAGUUAAGAUCAUUAUAUCCAUGUUUCCAAAUACGAGCGAGAGUUCUGCUGAAAAGCCUCUCGGCCAUUCCGAAAAUUGAUAAUUAAGAACAGAAUUUUCUAUUGAACGCGAUCUUUACGAUACGGCAAGACUGAGAAGGAAUUUAACUAGUGGGAUCGUUUGUGACUGAGAGGUCCAUCUGACGAUAUCAAGCCGGUACUUCUACGUAAACUGUCCUUCUUUAUUCUUGUAUGACGGGAUAUAGAAAAUCUGUCUUGAAAUAAGCGAUAUCUUACACGCACAUUUUGUCGCAUACAGAAUUUUUAAAGCCAAGAAUAAUGUGGAGCCUAAAGGGAUUUUCACUCACAAAAUGUCUCGCAUUUGCUAGUGGCUGCAAGGAACGUUUUCCCGAAGCAAAGAACACAGAUGAAAGAAUAGAAAGAAGGCAAAGAAUCGUGCAAACUGCGAAAGCAAUUAUUCUCAUAUGUUAUUGCCUAGCUUUGAACAUAUUCCUAGGUUACAUAAAGCAUUAUGGACUUAAUUCUUUUUCACACGGCCUUCUCGUUAUCUCUCUUCUAUCUCUGAUCUAUAUUCUACAUUUAUUCCUCUCGGAGAAAGUAGACGUUGAUUCGGGCAAAAUGAGAACUGUCCGAGCAUUCUUUUAUACGAUAGCCAUUCUCUAUAUGCUAAUUAUGUUUAUGUGUUUCGCUAGCUUUCUGGUGUUAACUGAAAAGGACAAGAACUGUGUUGACAUAUAACUCUAUCUAUUGUGUGCACCCAUUAGCAGAAUGUUUAAAAUAAAAUUGUUCACAAAGGCAA